AUACUUACCUGGCAGGGGAGAUACCAUGAUCACGAAGGUGGUUUCCCCAGGGCGAGGCUUACUCAUUGCACUCCGGGUAUGCUGACCCCUGCGAUUUCCCCAAAUGUGGGAAACUCGACUGCAUAAAA
ensembl:snRNA U1 U1 spliceosomal RNA